rnacentral:rRNA from 1 species
GACGAACGCUGGCGGCGUGCCUAAUACAUGCAAGUAGAACGCACAGUUUAUACCGUAGCUUGCUACACCAUAGACUGUGAGUUGCGAACGGGUGAGUAACGCGUAGGUAACCUGCCUGGUAGCGGGGGAUAACUAUUGGAAACGAUAGCUAAUACCGCAUAAUAUUAAUUAUUGCAUGAUAAUUAAUUGAAAGGUGCAAUUGCACCACUACCAGAUGGACCUGCGUUGUAUUAGCUAGUAGGUGAGGUAACGGCUCACCUAGGCGACGAUACAUAGCCGACCUGAGAGGGUGAUCGGCCACACUGGGACUGAGACACGGCCCAGACUCCUACGGGAGGCAGCAGUAGGGAAUCUUCGGCAAUGGACGAAAGGCUGACCGAGCAACGCCGCGUGAGUGAAGAAGGUUUUCGGAUCGUAAAGCUCGGUUGUAAGAGAAGAACGGGUGUGAGAGUGGAAAGUUCACACUGUGACGGUAUCUUACCAGAAAGGGACGGCUAACUACGUG